GACGAACGCUGGCGGCGUGCCUAAUACAUGCAAGUAGAACGCUGAAGAGAGGAGCUUGCUCUUCUUGGAUGAGUUGCGAACGGGUGAGUAACGCGUAGGUAGCCUGCCUUGUAGCGGGGGAUAACUAUUGGAAACGAUAGCUAAUACCGCAUAACAAUAGGUGACACAUGUCAUUUAUUUGAAAGGGGCAAUUGCUCCACUACAAGAUGGACCUGCGUUGUAUUAGCUAGUAGGUGAGGUAACGGCUCACCUAGGCGACGAUACAUAGCCGACCUGAGAGGGUGAUCGGCCACACUGGGACUGAGACACGGCCCAGACUCCUACGGGAGGCAGCAGUAGGGAAUCUUCGGCAAUGGGGGCAACCCUGACCGAGCAACGCCGCGUGAGUGAAGAAGGUUUUCGGAUCGUAAAGCUCUGUUGUAAGUCAAGAACGAGUGUGAGAGUGGAAAGUUCACACUGUGACGGUAGCUUACCAGAAAGGGACGGCUAACUACGUG
rnacentral:rRNA from 1 species